rnacentral:rRNA from 1 species
GACAGAGGGUGCAAACGUUGCUCGGAAUUACUGGGCGUAAAGGGCGUGUAGGCGGGAAGGAAAGUCAGAUGUGAAAUCCCUGGGCUCAACCCAGGAACUGCAUCCGAAACUCCCUUUCUUGAGUACCGGAGAGGAAGGUGGAAUACCUGGUGUAGAGGUGAAAUUCGUAGAUAUCAGGUGGAACACCAGUGGCGAAGGCGGCCUUCUGGACGGUAACUGACGCUGAGACGCGAAAGCGUGGGGAGCAAACAGG